UCUCAGUCGGUAAAGAAUCUGCCUGCAAUGCAGGAGACCCAGGUUCGAUUCCUAG
rnacentral:tRNA from 1 species